CUCACUUUUUCAAUGUUUAGAUGAGAGAUUUUUUUUUUGCAUUUGAAAUUCGGGCUUCGUUCGCGUUAGAGGCUACAUUGAUUUUUGGAGGCAGUGUUUUUAACUCUUUCCCUCUAAUCUCUUAUUGUUUGUGUGUACGUUGUUUAACGCCUUAGAUAGAAACAGAAUACGCCUAGAGGCCCAAUCAUAAGUUGUAUUUUCUUAUCAAAGAGUUACAGUGCAGCAAAGUAUCCUGAGACUCCUACAUGGUCCAGAGCCAGAUAAAGUAGGAUCUCACACAAAUCGGGCUGGCAAUUGCCUUGCAGCAGAGCCAUCAAGUCAACAAGACAAGACAAGACAAGAUAUUAAUGGUUUAAUACUUAAGUUAUAAUUAUGAAAUUUAAAAUUAUGAGAAAGAAAAUAAAGUAUAAUUUAGCACUUAAUACUUAUUCAAUUGUACAUCUGACGAUACCUCGCAUAUACGUAUAUACUCAGUUCCCAAUUUCAAAUCAAAUCAGUGAUGGUGGUUAUAUAAACAAUUUUACUAAAUUGAAUUUAAAAUCUGUGAUUAUUUCUACAUAUUAAUUCGAAAAAAAAAAUAAUCUAUAAAUUGCAACGAGCCGAUAAAUCAAUACUUGAAGAAACCGAGCCAAAAAGAAAAGGGACUACCUGAAAUUCUGAGUCUCUCCGACUGGUAGCAGGGCCCACCUGAUCUGAAUGGGGCUCCUUUGUUGGCAGCUAUACGUUUGGGUCAAAAGAGGCAGCAGCAGAUCGACCAGUUAGGAUGGUUCCAGAAUGUCUAGCAGGUAGUGGAAGGCAAUCGGUAUUAGGUGUAGCCGAUUGGGUGGAAUGCAGGUUCCCAAGCGACUUGAUGUGGUAACACGUGGAGUAGCAAGUGAGGUGGAAGCAGUAACAAUAAAAAUGCAGCAAAAGCAGAAGCAGAGGAUAAGCAGAAGGUACAGGAAGGCCUAAAAAUGGGGACCACACAUGAGGUUCGACAUGGCUGUCAAUUUUAUGGCAUUUUUGUGUGGAUCGGGUAUGUUAGGAGGGACCAUCUUAACGGUAUAUCAUAUCUGUGUAGUAUGUAUAUUUAUGUAUGAUUUUUAAAUAAAUUAUUUUAUGAAACUA